rnacentral:lncRNA from 1 species
UCACUGCAGACAGUUCACCCCUCACUGACAUCACUGCAGACAGCCUGUCCCUCACUGACAUCACUGCAGACAGUUCACCCGUCACUGAUGUCACUGCAAACAGCACACCCCUCACUGAUGUCGCUUCCAAGAAUUGCUGUUGUGCAGUAAGUCAAAGCCAUACCAGCCAAUGCAAAACAGAUAGUAUUUAACCAGUUCCACACACUUGCUUAGGAAUCCCAAUCACAGUUAGUAUAGUAGUAGUAGUACCUUUCUUGGAUGAGCCACGUGGAGCCUGACAUUUCAUGACAUUUAAAAAAAUAUAUAUAUUCUUUAGUUAUUUUGUAAUGUUUGCCCACCCAUUCUGUAUCACCAAUUAUGUCUUUAUGUCUUUAUGUCUUCCCCAGCAAGUGCAGGCGGGGUCCUCCAGUCCACACGUCCACAGGCCAUGCAGCAUUUGACAAGCCACCAGCUCUUCAGCAGUACACAGGAGGUUCAGCACCGAUCACACCAGUGAAUCUUAAGUUUAGAGAAAAAGGCCCUUUGCAGAUGAAGGACGUCUGAUGGGGCCCAACCACAGCUCCCCUCUGCUGCCCCAGAUACCCGGUCUGAAAUUGACCCGCGGCAGCUCCCCUCCCUCCUCGGCGAGUCAGAGGCUCAUCUCCCUCUGCAUGCGACCUGCGCUGCCUCGUGCAGGGCUGUCUGCUCCCAGCUCUGACAGAAAAUCAAUGGCCUGAAGCCCGAGAGACUCAGCACAUGGAUUUCCGAUACACAGCCGUCAAAAACAGAACACAGCACGGUGACAGCUGGGCCUUUGGCGCGGACCUUUCCCCUUUCGAGAGAGGGGUGUGUCGGCGUGCGGGCCGAUCUCACGCCCCUUUUUAGCGCGGCGCUGAAGAGGAGGUCACAUGAAGGCAAGCUCUUUGACCUGAGACACUAGACACACACGCUGGGAGUCAGGAGAACACAUCAAUGAAUUAAAAAAACCCAUAUUGCAAAAAAUGUGUAAGAUGGCUGCACAGACAUUGCAGGCCCAGUGAUACUGUAUGAUAGGAAAUUACAAAUGCAUUAGAUAUUUUUAACCACCUGUUUGGAGUCUCCAGUCCGACAGGUGACACCAUCUGCAGAGACAGGCAUAGCCAAGAUAUCCUCUGCUUUCCACAUGGCCAAUCUAGAAUGCAGCCAGCACGUAUUUGUCCUGAUGACGUGCUUGCUGUGACCAGGCAUUGCAUGGAAUUUCUGCAGUUGUGCCAUGCUCCUGCCAUAUGGUUUGCUUCCUCAUUGUCUUCCACAGUUAAACCAUGUUGAUUUAAACAUGCCAGUGACUUCUUACUCCAUGAUUUCAAUGUUUUACUAUAUUUCACAAUGUACCUUUUACCAUAAUGUACCUGCAUAAUAUACAGUUGCCUUUAUACUGGCGAAGUGAGUGGAGAAGCUGUGUGCAGCCCUCAUUGAUUAGCACCCAGACUGAAAUGCGCCCAAUUAGAGAUUCAGGGUGCUAUGCUGCUGUGAGUGGUGGACUGAGCCUAGGACUCCCCUAGCCAGCCCCACGCCUGAAUUGUGCUUAUAGCGUUUCCUUUGUUUGCUAUCCCUUUAAAAGGAUGGCACUGCUCAGCUAGGGGCAGAGACUACCAACCCAUUCCUGGGCCUACAAGGCCCUGCUUUCCAGUCUCCCAGACAUUGAUCCUCUCGACCCCUGUGUCGUUGUAUUAACUACCCCUGAUUUUGCCUCUUUUCUCUCAGCCGAUUCAGUUAAUCUCUUAAGUAAACUAACCAUUCACUUGAAGUUGACCUUUUGCGUUUGUUUUCAGUUCUUAGACUGCUGAGAGAUUUCAGUCGGACUAUUAAAUGUCACAUAUGACUUUUAAACAGUGUCUAAUUGGAUAAGAUAUUACCUGCUUCCAGGAACAAGAUCCUUGGAUCUGGUCGGCAAGCUGGAAGAAGCCCAUACGACUAAGAUGAGCCUGAUGGCCUGGUCUUAAUUGCAAUUAUGUUGCGGUUUUUUAAAUAUAAUUCUAGAGCCAGGCUGCAAAAACCCCAAUUUACCACUCUCCAUCCACUCCCACCCCCCAAAGAGACCUUCUUUUCCUCUCAACUGGCCUCACUUAUUUAGUACAUUCUACUUCUGAGUGAUGGCUCAUCACUACCGACGAUCAGAUCUGGCA